rnacentral:rRNA from 1 species
CCAGACUUGCCCUCCAAUGGUUCCUCGUUAAAGGAUUUAAAGUGUACUCAUUCCGAUUACCGGGCCUCGGAUGAGUCCGGUAUCGUUAUUUUUCGUCACUACCUCGGUCUUCGACCAAUGGGUAAUUUGCGUG